AGCGAACGCUGGCGGCAGGCUUAACACAUGCAAGUCGAGCGGCCGUAGCAAUACGGCAGCGGCAGACGGGAGAGUAACACGUGGGAACGUACCCUUCAGUUCGGAACAACCAAGGGAAACUUUGGCUAAUACCGAAUACGUCCGUAAGGAGAAAGAUUUAUCGCUGAAGGAUCGGCCCGCGUCUGAUUAGCUAGUUGGUGAGGUAACGGCUCACCAAGGCGACGAUCAGUAGCUGGUCUGAGAGGAUGAUCAGCCUCACUGGGACUGAGACACGGCCCAGACUCCUACGGGAGGCAGCAGUGGGGAAUACUGGACAAUGGGCGCAAGCCUGAUCCAGCCAUGCCGCGUGGAUGAUGAAGGCCUUAGGGUUGUAAAGUCCUUUUAACGGGGAAGAUAAUGACGGUACCCGUAGAAUAAGCCCCGGCUAACUUCGUGCCAGCAGCCGCGGUAACAC
rnacentral:rRNA from 1 species